GCACAAGAGCGCCAAGAAGUGGAAGGAAACAGGAAACCGGACAGGAGGAGACAGAUGGUAUCAGGAAGCAACACACUGAUAAAAGUCUGCCUGCUGUGCAUUUCUGUCUUUUCCUUGCUCUCUGUGCUUUUCCUUGAGGCUUCCUCCCGGUUCAGCAGCUCUUCUAAGUAUACACUAAUAAACAGUGGCUGCCAGAGAGCUAACCCCGUGGUGGAGUCCCGUUCUUCUCCCCACCAAUACUCGCUUUGCAUUCUGGUUGUUUUUUGGUCAAACUGGGGCGUGAUCGUGAUGAUCGCUAAUGAGAUCGCUACUUAGGGACUGCACGCAAUGUGCUGAGUAUCCCGCCAGAUGAGGCCUGUGGGGAUGGAGAAGAUACACCUCAAAGAAGUGUUCAGCACAGCACCAGCGACAACUGGGCAGUGUCACAAGCAUCAAGUGGGUGAGGCAGAAAGUUGGAGGUUCGCUGGAAGGUCACGUGACUCGCUGCGAGGCCAUGGAGGAGUCUGCAGCACGAGCUCAGAGAAGGUUCCACAGAGGAGCCUGAACGAGGGGAGCCUGUGGCAGGUGAACAAAUGCAGUCUACUAAGGAACACAGGUAGUAGAUGCUUCCAGAAUUCUCUUGCAUCUUUUCUCUUUCACGUGUCAGUAUCUUCGUCGCCUCUGAAAACAUAGCUUCAUAGCCAGCACUGCUCAUAAGGACCGUGACAGGGGAAUUGCGGUCUGGCAUGUGUCUUAGCUAGUGUCUGCACUAAAGAGAGACUUUCAGUGAACAAUGCUGCUGGCAGUAUUUUAAAGAAAAGAUUAAAGAAGCAUGCUGCUACAUGUGAAUCAUUCUGUCCAAUUCUGCAUGCAAAGCAGAUGGCUGCUAAAUGUUCCAUUCCUGGUAUUGUUUGUCUUAUAAAUGCUAAGGAGGAGUUGAAAUGGAGGAUCCCAUUACAUUAAAGGAAAUUUUCUCUCCCUACAAUAUAUUGUCCACAAAGCAGUGAGCUCCCUACUCCCUGGAGCUAUGUUCUAAGGGCACACACAUUCCAGAAUGAUUAGCCUUUCCUCGGUUACUACUAAGAGCCCUAAAAGCCAUGGAAAUCAAUACAUACAAUAACUUAUUACUGACAGAUUAACAUUUCCUAUUGAUCUCUCCUGGAAUAGGACUUUGUGUCCCCCAAGGAGCUUUUUUUUCUUUUAAGACACAACUAGGCAACGAUGUUUUGAAAUGCUUUGGCAGCAGUUUUUGUGAAAAGCAACAAGAAACUCUUGAUAGUUUCAAAGUCUAACUGAGAUGUGCAGAAGGAAAUUUCACUUGCCUGCCCGAGCCCACAGCGCACCUCUGUGCCCAGAAGCAGACGCUCUGUCCCAUGCCAUGCAUCUGAAGACAACUGUCCAUUUGCAACUUCUGGGAGUCCGGUAGGCUCCCUGUCUGGUUCUCCUAUCUGAAAACUGUCAGCUGGCCAGGCCACCUUAGGCCGCACAUCUUCAAAGAACAGCAGGCUGAUGAAGUAUUUACUGGACUCGUCUUUCCAGAGGGUUUCAGAUCAUGAUUUGCAAACUUAGAUAUUUGCAGACUGUCCUGGGAACUCCAUCAUGAACAGGUUCUGGCAAUGAACUGAGGUCAGCAGGUUCCAUGUGCUACCUGUUGUGGGACUUUGAACUUAUUCAUUUCCCUGAAAAGAGCAGGGAACUACAUCUGCGAAAGCCCCUUGAUGACAUAAAGUCCUGGCUGGAUAUCUGGCCCUGUGUCUUAGUCCCUUCUGAGUGGAUUUUGAAAGUUAAAUCAUGACAUUACAUCAUGCUUUAAGGGGGAAGGAUGCUCCAAGGACUGAACUAAAGGAGUCAGAACUCUUCCAGCAGUCAUCCUUGUCAUUAUUUACAUGUAUCUCAGAGCCAAUAUAAGGAUGGGAAAACAGACGAGGAGAGAAAAAACAACAGAGGCUCAUCUAUGCAGCCUACACCUUUAGUUACACAGUAUGGAAUUCAGAGCGCGGAAAACGUAAAUUACAAUAGCAAAAACGAAACCAGAAAUAGUCUAUUUUAUAAAGGCAGACACUGAAAGCAUUCUGCUCAGCUCCCUAAAUUUUGUGAGGAAAUUUUUACUCCAAGUGACCCCACACACAAGGGAUAUAGCUGUUCAGCAUUUCGCAACAGAACAUUAUCUGCUAUUGUUCUUUGUGUUCAAAGAUACUCAGGCAAUGAUGUUCCUAUUCCUGUGCAAGAGUCUGGCAGGAAGCCCGAAGACGUGACCUAAUUUCUAAAUAGCUCUCCUUCUGGUGAGCUAGGAGUCUUAAAAUGGCUGCAUUUUAUGACCCAGACCUAUAGAAUCCUGUAGACUGUGAGGAAAGAGUUGGGAGGGCAACAGAUUUCCACCUGGAUUACUUUGCGCUAUUAGAUGAUUUUUUUUUCCUUUUGAGUAUAACAGCCUCUGCCUGUUAUUCAAAGGGAUGGUAUGGGAACAAACACAUUAGCUUUGCUUUCUAAGAGAAGGGCUCUUGAGAGCCUAGAAGUGGAAAAUCAUUAGGUGUGUGUUGCUAGCUCUAGGACUCAUCUCGAUAUAUUUAUAGUUGAGGUGCUCUGGAAGGAGCAGGGAGAUGUUGAUGUAUGGGCCUGUCUGAACAUUCCUUCCACCCUGAGUGGCUCUUGAAAGUCAAAUUAUAACAUUGCAUUAUGCUUUAAAAGAGAAGGACGCUUCAUAGAAAAGGCAUUUACUAACCUCUUGAGGGACGGUUGUGCAUUGAUCAGAUGACAGAUGGAGUUGGACUUUCACAAUGGAGGAGUGUUAACCAGAAUGUGGGGUCACUGUGGGGCCACAGAGAAUCAGAGCCGUGGCUGUCAGUUUGGCACAGGGAGGGGAGGUACCAAGCAGAUGAUCUCAGCCAUCAGAGAGGAAAGGAAAAGGGAACGUAGAAGUCUUCGAUUCUUAAAAGCAAUCCUGGCUCUAAUUUCGAUACAUCACAUUGCAUAGGUCACCGGUGUCUUGAGCCUUGCUCUGCCAUUUGUAGGCAAGAAGCAGAGACUCUCCCUUAAUGGAGGAACUAAUGGAAUAGACAUACUCAAGGAAUCUUCCAGUAAUUUCUGUUAAGUGAAUUCUAAAGUGAACUCUUAAAGCAACAAUAGCAACAGAAAACAGUGGCUCCAGUUCCCCAAAGCUUGCCUUGUACCACAAACUAAUAUUGCCAGUGCGGAGGAAAAAUCUCCAUCAACCAAAAUCCAGAAAACCAAAUACAAAUAUUAAUACAUGGCCAAUCUAAUUGCUUCUAAACCAUUGUGUCUUUAAUGGCUUUAAAAAUUGUUAGUCCAUAACUCAGAAUGAUACCAGUGUCUCAACCAGGUAUUAGGACAAUUGGAGCCUGUACUAAUUGACAUACGUGUCAAACAACGUGUGUGAGUUAUGAAGACAACAGGGCAGGUUUGGUCAUCAGCCAGUCUGUUGUACACGUGCCUCCAAGGCUAGAGAGAGAUUGUCUGUGAAAUUCUAGUACUUGCACCACAGUGGCUCAGAAACGGAUUGAAAGACCUGCCCUAUAUAAGGGGCGGGGUGCGCCUUCACAAUGGGUGAGGGGAGCUCAACUUGGCAGUUGUGGACUUCACUCUAAGUCCACGUCAUGUGAGUCCCCUCUUCUUUUAGUCGUCGAAGGCCAGCUCCCGCCUUCCCUCUAAUUCCCUGUCAGAAAGGCACUUAGGUCUUUGAAACCCUAGCAGGAAUGUCCAGCCUUCUGACACCCACACCUUCUCUUCUACAAAGUGCAGGCAGCGGAGCACUGAACCAAAAUUAAACAAACCAGAAUCCACGAGGAGAAAAUCAGUUUUAAAAUCUCAAAACGUUUAUGAUUUUGCAUUGGGCCGCUUUCAUAUAGCCUUAGAAUUCACUGGUCAGGUGGCCAGCGCAGGAGUCUGCUCAGCCAGGAAGCUUUGGGAGUCAUGCAUAUUCAUCAGAGGGUGUGGCCCCGCCUGCCCCCGGGGUUUUGGCAAUUGGGAGCAGCAGAAAGGCCGGGUCAAACGCCCUCCACAGUUGUUUGGAGAGCUUCGCUGACUCAGACUCCUCCCUCCCCUCGAGCGCUUGGACCUUUCUGACUUAAGAGCUUAUACAUUGCAAUGCAAGGGGCCUCAAAUCUCGUCUCCAUCCACCAGCCAGCGCAAGGCAAAUUUCACCCAGAAAAUUCGGACGUCUCCCUCUCCUUCGGUUUGACCAAUGAAAACCAGCAGUGUGCCUGCAUGCAUAAGCGGAGGCCUUCUCUCCCUUGGUGGUGCCUCCAGGUUUGUGGUUCCCUUCUCUGUGAUUACAACUUCCCCGCACACUUUCUUAUUUCAGGUCACGAAACUAUGUUGCCUCUGUCCCCGACGCACCCGCACACCCCAUCCAUUAUUUAGUAUAGCACAGUAAUUAAAAACCAGACGUUUGAAUUUAGAGCUCUGCUUGUCCACUUUAGAAGCUCUGUGACUAUAGAACCAUAUCCCUUUGUGCCUUCAUCUGCCAUACACCCACCCCGUGGAUUUGGGCUGAGGAGAUAAUGAGUCCCCACAGAAAUGCAUAGCUCUGUCUGGCUUGGAGCGAAGCAUUUAGUAAAUGUUUGCCUGGGAGUUGACCCCUGGGCCUGGCCACAAGCUAGGCAAGCACUCUACUAUCGAGCUACACCCUUGGCUUACCUUCGUACUAAUUUAUCUUCUGACGGUACAAAUCUGGCCCCAAACAGGGGACUAUCACAGUGGAAAUCUGCUGGGACACAUUCUGCUGAAGGUGGAGUCCCACCAGAAGCCAAAGGGCCAAUCAAUGGUAUCCAGCAGAUCAGGAGAAAGUCUGGACCCAGAACCGAGCAGUGGAGCUGGGUGGCCUGCAGUGAGGAAAUGUGAGACCCGGGCCUGAGGGGACAGAUCUCAGCACCACAGCAAGCUUCUUGGGUUGUCUUUAGGCUCAUCCCAGGCUCCAGUCUGCACUCUACUAACUCUGAAAGGAUUCAGCCCAGGCUCAUUCUGGGGCCAAAGCCCCAAGCUUUGCCACUGACCACACCCCUGCCCUUCUAGUUCCCAUCUUUACCAAGUCCUGCUCUGCCAGGUUACCCCCAUCAUGACCCUCAGGUGCCUGCCCCGCCCCGCCCCGCCCCGCCCCGCCCUUCUAAGUGGGCAGCUGGCUUCAGCUCUGCCUUUCCUCUCUCCUGACACUGUCCAUCCACCAUCUCUCCACGACACAUUCCACGCCUGGAAUCCCCAGUGGUCUCCAGGAGGCUAACUCUGUACAGCUUCAUAAGCAAGCCUGUUGCUGGUUGCUUGGCUCACCAACUUCCUCUUCCUGAACAGUUGAGAGCAUUUGUUCUAGUUUCUCUCAAAGCUAGCUUGGGACAAUGACAAAGCUCUAUUUUUUUUUAACAGCUAAGUUCAAUUUGUAUUCCCUUCACAGAAAACACUAGAGAAAUUUUGAGCCAAAAAAUAAAUGCUGACUUUCUACAAACAA